GAUGAACGCUGACAGCAUGCUUAACACAUGCCAGUCUUUGGUGAAGCUGUGCUUGCACAGCCUAGCCAAGGCGGACGGGUGAGUAACGCGUAAGGAACUUGCCCUGCAGUCAGGGAUAACAGACGGAAACGACUGAUAAGACCUGGUAAAGUCAGGCGGACUCAUGUCCAGCCUGAUGAAAAGAGAUGCUGCAGGAGAGCCUUGCGUCCUAUUAGCUUGUUGGUGGGGUAACGGCCCACCAAGGCAAUGAUAGGUAGCCGGCCUGAGAGGGUGGACGGCCACAAGGGGACUGAGAUACGGCCCUUACUCCUACGGGAGGCAGCAGUGGGGAAUAUUGGACAAUGGGGGCAACCCUGAUCCAGCAAUUCUGUGUGCACGAUGAAGGUUUUCGGAUUGUAAAGGGCUUUCAGCAGGGAAGAAAAAAAUGACGGUACCUGCAGAAGAAGCGACGGCUAAAUACGUG
rnacentral:rRNA from 1 species